AGUGAACGCUGGCGGUAGGCCUAACACAUGCAAGUCGAACGGCAGCACAGUAAGAGCUUGUUCUUACGGGUGGCGAGUGGCGGACGGGUGAGGAAUACAUCGGAAUCUAUUUUUUCGUGGGGGAUAACGUAGGGACACUUACGCUAAUACCGCAUACGACCUACGGGUGAAAGCAGGGGAUCUUCGGACCUUGCGCGAUUGAAUGAGCCGAUGUCGGAUUAGCUAGUUGGCGGGGUAAAGGCCCACCAAGGCGACGAUCCGUAGCUGGUCUGAGAGGAUGAUCAGCCACACUGGAACUGAGACACGGUCCAGACUCCUACGGGAGGCAGCAGUGGGGAAUAUUGGACAAUGGGCGCAAGCCUGAUCCAGCCAUGCCGCGUGGGUGAAGAAGGCCUUCGGGUUGUAAAGCCCUUUUGUUGGGGAAGAAAAGCAGCAGGUUAAUACCCCGCUGUUCUGACGGUACCCAAAGAAUAAGCACCGGCUAACUUCGUG
rnacentral:rRNA from 1 species